AGCUCGACGGGAUCGACGCCGCGGGUGACGACGAGGUAGUCGCGCAGUGCGAUGCCGUGCCGGUUCUC
rfam:Modestobacter sp. KNN45-2b asc16_sequence_0050, whole genome shotgun sequence.